UCUUUUCUGUAAUUUGUUGUUUUCUUUCGCUGAUAUUUUUAGAAUUCACACUAUUGUUUGGCUUGUUUCCAUCAGUUCUUGUUUUCUUUCUUAUUUUGAUUAACUUGUGGAGGAAUUCUCGACCUGGAAUUCCAUUUAAAUAAACAAUUUAUGGUCUCCACCGAAAUCCCAUAACUAUUGUGUUCUAUGUACAUGUCUUUCUGAAAGAAGGAAAAGAAAGAAACGCAUUUUCGUUUGUCUGUUGCAUAGGUAGUUUUUAACCAAAAUGGAGGAAGCUUCAAAUGGGAAAAAUGAGACCAAAAUUGUGGAACGACAGGAAGUUAUUGAGGAAGUUGAGGUGGCCGAUUCAGGGGAUAAAUUUUUGAAAGAAGUUGUUAUUGAUAGUACUGCUGAGUCUGUGAAAGAAACUAUUGAUGAGAAUAAUUCGAGUUUAGAGGUCAGCAAUAGUUUGAAGGAAGAGGCAAAGGCUAAAGAGAAAACAGUUCAAGUGGAGGAUUCAGAGAUACUGGAAGUGGUGGAGAAAGAGGUGGUUAAUUUAGCUGUUGGGUCGACCGAGUCUGUGGAGGAAAAAUUGGCUGAAACUAUUGAAGCAAUGGUGGAGAAAUAUGAGAACUCUGAUGUGGCUGAAGUAGAAGUGAAAGAAACCAAAGAGAAGGUUUCGGUGCCUUUGAACGAAACUAGUGUCUUUCCUUCAGUUGUCAAGGAUCAGAAUGAUGCGGAAGUACCUGAAGUGGUAUUGAAUGCAACAGAUGGAUCAUCUCUUGCUGUAACAGAUGAAGUGUCCAAGGGAAUUGAGGAGAACGUGUUGCAAUCUAUUGAUGAAAACAACGUGGCCCCUCCAGCUUCGACAGAGGCAGUGUCAAAGGGGAUCGAGGACGAGAAGCUGGCAGCUUUGAAGGAAAAUACUGGGGAAUCAUCUGGCAAUGUUGACAAUGAAACAGUGGAAAGUUUUGAAUCUACUACUGUAGUUGGAAGCAGCGAUGCUUUUCCUGAAAGCACAGGAGAUCCGCCUAUCAUAUCCCAUCAACAACGUAACCUGUGUCCAUCUUGGAGGAACUGCUGUGGCCUUUUUGAAGCUCUGAGGCGAUCCGAUAGAUAAAUUAAUUUCAUUCAGGAGCUUAUUCUAAUUGCCUGGGAUCUCAUGUGGACCAACUCUAUUUAGCAUUCACUAAGAUUUUCUUAUUUCCCUAUGUUAUAAGCUUAUGAAUUGAGAGACAGACAUUUACCUUAGACACUUAAUUUUUAAUUAAAACUGAAAAUCUGGCAGAGAUUUCCAUCCUAAAAGUUUUAGAUUAUUGGUAAAUGUCACUCAUGACUUAGCUAUAUCAUUAAAUGUGUGUAUCAUUGUCACCCCAAGACAAACUUGUGCGAUAAUCAAUGAUGUAUUGGCCAUUGCUUUAUGCUUUUACUACACUUAUGAUCUUGAAUUAAAUUGAUCACCUGAAGUGCAGUAAACACAACAUCAGCUUAUUCAGAAGGUACAGUUUCUGGUUUCUUUGAGUUUGAGAAAUUGGCCUUAGAUGGGAUUAAAUUAGAGGGGGGGAAAAGGUCCAUGUGAUCAACAGCAAAUAGUUAGCGGUUAAUGUUGAAUUGAAGUCGCAGAAGGUAGAGCCGUAGAGGGCAGGGAUUCAUGCAAGGUGGAAUCUGGCCUUGCUUUUCAGGAAAACCCACAAGCUCUUUUAAUUUUAUGUUGAUAAAGACUAAAGUUGCAAUAUUGCAGUUGCUCCUUACUGCUGCUAUAUCUGGUAAAACAUUCCCUGCGUUGCUUCAGAUUUGUUCCCUGCAACAAAAGAAUCCCUCUAGCAAGGCUUUCUUUGGCAUUGUUUUUUGCUUUUUCAGAAUUAUUCCGGAACAUUCAUUUCCUGUUGGUCGAUACAUAUCUAUGAUUGGUGUAGAAAUUCUGUUACUGCUAGAGUUAGGACGCUCUUCGUUGGACUUCAUUGAUCAGCGGAUUGUGGAACUCCUUGCUGUGUGCUCAGGGCUUUUGCUUCUUUGUGCUAACAUGUUUUGGUUUUCUGAAACUGUGUUCUGAAAAUAUCAAGAGGGGACAAUUUGAACUUAUUCGAGGGCAAACGUAUUUUGUAAGCUCCUGUAAUGCGAUAAAGAGCAUCGUCACGGAGUGCUGUUAAGAGAGAUCGACAAAAAUUUGAGACCUGUGCUGUGGUUUCUUUCUUGUGUCACAAAUCGAAUGUAACCGGAUCUUGCAGGGGAUGGGGAUGAAAACUUGCCGGUUAGCCUACAGCUCAUUGGCAAUUGUGUGGUGUGCUCCUCCUCCUCCUUGUCGUCUGUUUAUUUUAUUUCUUGUUUUUUCAAGGUAUUCUGAUUGUAUUAGAGUGAUUUGUAAUUAAGUUUGAUGGCAAAAAUGCCAUACUUUCGAUUGUAUAUUUAUAAAACAUAAUUUAUUGAUCAAUGAGAAAAGAGGUACAUUGACGAA